rnacentral:rRNA from 1 species
GAUGAACGCUAGCUACAGGCUUAACACAUGCAAGUCGCGGGGCAGCAUGGGGGUUGCUUGCAAUCCCCGAUGGCGACCGGCGCACGGGUGAGUAACGCGUAUCCAACCUGCCCUUCACCACGGGAUAACCCGGCGAAAGUCGGACUAAUACCGUAUGUUGUCCAUUGACGGCAUCCGAUUUGGACGAAAGGUUUGGCGGUGAAGGAUGGGGAUGCGUCCGAUUAGCUGGACGGCGGGGUGACGGCCCACCGUGGCGACGAUCGGUAGGGGUUCUGAGAGGAAGGUCCCCCACACUGGAACUGAGACACGGUCCAGACUCCUACGGGAGGCAGCAGUGAGGAAUAUUGGUCAAUGGGCGUAAGCCUGAACCAGCCAAGUAGCGUGCAGGAGGACGGCCCUAUGGGUUGUAAACUGCUUUUAUGCGGGGAUAAAGUGGCCCACGUGUGGGUUUUUGCAGGUACCGCAUGAAUAAGAACCGGCUAAUUCCGUG